rnacentral:rRNA from 22 species
AAAUUGAAGAGUUUGAUCAUGGCUCAGAUUGAACGCUGGCGGCAGGCCUAACACAUGCAAGUCGAACGGUAACAGG